GACGAACGCUGGCGGCGUGCCUAAUACAUGCAAGUAGAACGCUGAAGGAGGAGCUUGCUUCUCUGGAUGAGUUGCGAACGGGUGAGUAACGCGUAGGUAACCUGCCUGGUAGCGGGGGAUAACUAUUGGAAACGAUAGCUAAUACCGCAUAAGAGUAGAUGUUGCAUGACAUUUGCUUAAAAGGUGCAAUUGCAUCACUACCAGAUGGACCUGCGUUGUAUUAGCUAGUUGGUGAGGUAACGGCUCACCAAGGCAACGAUACAUAGCCGACCUGAGAGGGUGAUCGGCCACACUGGGACUGAGACACGGCCCAGACUCCUACGGGAGGCAGCAGUAGGGAAUCUUCGGCAAUGGACGGAAGUCUGACCGAGCAACGCCGCGUGAGUGAAGAAGGUUUUCGGAUCGUAAAGCUCUGUUGUAAGAGAAGAACGAGUGUGAGAGUGGAAAGUUCACACUGUGAUGGUAUCUUACCAGAAAGGGACGGCUAACUACGUG
rnacentral:rRNA from 1 species